rnacentral:sRNA from 1 species
UGGCGGUGUCAUCGGCGAAGAGCGCCAGAA